AGCAUUCCCCUGUUCCCUGUGAGGGGUCAGGGCGGGUUCACCCACUGGCCUCUCGGGCCACUGGUGAAAUACCACUACUUUCAUCAUUUUUUCACUGACCUGAAGGGGGAAUGGUGCAAGGUCAAGGGGGCUCUCAAGCGCCCAUCUACAAGCUGGCAUGUGGACGAGACCAAGUCUGGGGACAGUGCCAGGUGGGGAGUUUGACUGGGGCAGUACACCUGUCAAUCAGUAACACAGUUGUCCUAAGGUGAGCACAGGGAGGACAGAAACCUCCCGUGGAGCAGAAGGGCAAAAGCUCGCUUGAUCUUGAUUUUCAGUACAAAUACAGACCAUGAAAGCAGGGCCUCACAAUCCUUCUGACCUUUUAGGUUUUAAGCGGGGAAUGUAAAAGUUAC
rnacentral:ncRNA from 1 species